UGCGUAGGCGGCGCGGAAAGUCAGGGGUGAAAUCCCGGAGCUCAACUCCGGAACUGCCUUUGAUACUCCCGCGCUUGAGAACUGGAGGGGAGACCGGAAUUCACGGUGGAGCAGUGAAAUGCGUGGAUAUCGUGAGGAACACUAGUGGCGAAGGCGGGUCUCUGGACAGUAUCUGACGCUGAGGCACGAAGGCUAGGGAGCAACG
rnacentral:rRNA from 1 species